GAGGGUAUAGCUCAGUGGUAGAGCACAUGCUUAGCAUGCACAAGGUCCUGGGUUCAAUCCCCAGUGCCUCCA
rnacentral:tRNA from 1 species